AAAAUAUACAUUAGCACGAAAAAUAAUUAAAUAUUUUAAAAAUAUAGCGACUAUUUAUAGCGACAGUCAAACGAACAACACAUCGACAGUUUUUAGCGAUUGUCGCUGUAAUAGGUCGCUGAAUACAGCGACAGACAAACGAACAAUGUAUGAUGUCGCUGGUCGCUAGUCGAUGUAUGAGUUCUGAAAUCAGACAUAGUCUGAUAGAGUUAAAAUAAGAUAUUUAUUUUAAACUGCAAUAGCUAAACAUAUAU
rnacentral:sRNA from 1 species